GAGGAAGUCCUCCUCAUUAGCCCUGCACUCGGCCCUGCAAGGGAGCAUGCGAAAGCGCCCGCGGGCCAGUGCAAAGGAGGAGGAGGAGGAGAAAUGGGUAUUCUCUUCCACUCUCUUCAAUCACUAAACUCCACUAUCAGAUUCACCAUUUAGCUACUGUAACCCUCCUGGCAGCCAUUCUGGAGUGAGGAGGAGAAUCUGAGAGGAACACCCUAAUUUACAAGCAAAGUAAUAUGUAUUCAGAGAAGAAAAAAAGAGAAAGAAAAGAAAAAGUAUGCAUUUCUUUUGGCAGCUGUUAUUGUUACCAACACAUGAGCAGCUCCGAGUGCCAAGGAUGACAUCAAACUGGGGCUCUUAUUAAAAGGUAAACAUGGAGAUUCUUCAUCCAGAAAAUACUGCAGCUGCUCCCGGUGCUGAUAUGUAAUGUUGAA